CACACACAGGAACAGGUAAAACACACACAUAGAACAGGUAAAACACACACAUAAGAACAGGUAAAACACACACAGGAACAGGUAAAACACACACAUAAGAACAGGUAAAACACACACAUAAGAACAGGUAAAACACACACAUAAGAACAGGUAAAACACACACAUAAGAACAGGUAAAACACACACAUAAGAACAGGUAAAACACACACAUAAGAACAGGUAAAACACACACAUAAGAACAGGUAAAACACACACAUAAGAACAGGUAAAACAACACACAGGUGUAUAUCAGUGACAGUACUUUGUGUGUCUGUUUACAUGUUGUGUAACUGCGUAUAAUAUGCGUCGUGUAGUAUUGUGUAUCAGUGUUGCAUAGCUGUGUGUAUACUGGAUGCUGUGUAGUUGUGCGUACAUGUUGUGCAGCUGUUUGUAUACAUGGAUGUUGUGUAGCAGUGUGUUAAUGCGUUGUGUAGUUUUGUGUAUGUGCUGUUUUUAAAUGAUGUGUAGCUGUUUGGCAGUGUGUAUGUAUGUGUAGCCGUUGUGUAUUUGU